AGCGGGGUGUCAUGGUUUGAGUGCUGGACUAGAACUCCAGGGGACCUGGGUUCAAAUCCCUGUUCAGCCC